GAGCGCCGCAGCUCCGUUGGGAGGCAGGGUGAGAGCCGGGAAGAAGGGAGGCUGGUGUCCCAGCACGGCGCUCAUGCCGAAGUCCGGAGCCCGGUGAGGACCAAUGACCUAAGGCCUCGUCAAGCUCUUUACCUGUGGAGAAGGAAAAUUGAAGGAAAGGAAGAGAUGAGAAGAGAAAGAGGGGAAGGAAAAGAGAAGAAAAAGGGAAAAAUGAGAAGAAAUCAUGGAAGAAAAAGAGGAAAGAAAAACAGUUUUUAAAAGGAGGGGUGAAGAAAUAAAUAAGAUUAUGGAAAAGGAGGUCGGAAUUGGGCCAUCCAGUAGUAAGUAGCCAACUGCUUAGUUGCCUCUGUGUAAGUAUCUCCCAAAUCUCAUUACUUAACUUGUCUCCAAAGUUAUCUAUCUAUCUUCCUAUUAAUGUAGCCAUUAAAUCAUGCUCUAGUCUUUCCAAGUAACCAAUUCCCAAAGUGGAAUCGCAUCCGCCCCCAGUCCCCAGCCUCAUAUGGUUUCACAAUGAUAGCAAUUGUCUCAUACCAACAACUUAUGAGAUGUUAUCAUUCAUUAGGACUUUCCAACAGGCAUCUCUGCUCCCCCCCCCCCCCACUACUCCCAUCCUUUACAGAACAUUAGUCCAAGAUAAAAUUCAGGGGAGAAAGAACUACUGCUUCCCUUGUAAAGGAUUUUCAUCCCUCCUUCCUCCAAGAAACCCCCCUCCUUUUCUUCUCUAUCACUUUUCCUCUUCCCAUCACCAUGCCUCUAAUAAUUGUAGAGCCAAUGAGUAGCCAGGGGAGAGAGCCAGAAAGAAAGACUUUCCCCCUGAGGAUCCUUUCCCCUUCCUUUUUGGUCAAGUGAGCAUAUGCCUGGUAAUUCCCAGGAUCCUCCUGGUGGGAGGAGAUAAGGAGACCAAGAUGGAAGGAAGCUUGCAUGAUUUUCUGAGGGGAAAGAUAGACUUUUAGGAUUUGUUUUUGUAUUAGAAGAUAGAUCCAGGAUGAGGAAGGAGGCAAAAAAAUGGGAAGGCAACUUUUAUCAAGUAAAAUUUCAUUUAUAUUCAAUCACUUAUCCCAUUGAUUACUUUUAGCAUGCCAGGACUCAUCUCUGGGUCUCCUCUGGCUUCUCUACCUCUCCUCCUUCCCUUCUCACAUGAUAACUGCUAGGAAGGAUAUUUCUAAAAGGAACUAUUUUCAUGAUGGCAAAUAGAUGGAUCUCCCAACCUACCUCAAACUGGAGUGACUCAUGUUUAUUUUUCUUUAACAAACAGCUGAUGGAGUUUGCCUUAAGGUACGCUAAAAAAAAAAAUAACCUGGAAAAAAAACCACCAUGGGGUCCAGGCGGUGCUAAAUCUGUGUGUGCCUGAGGACUGUGUGUUUAGGCCCCUUGGAGGUCUGAGUUGUUUGCAGGGCUGUGUAAUAAAUGGGCCCGGCUUCAGGUGAGGAGAGCAGAGAGGGUGGGGACAGGAAUGCUGGGACAGAUUUACACCUGUCCAUACAGCUGCCAUCAGCAAUCCUUCCAGCCUACAGAAAUGACCCCUGGUGCCGACCUGUCUGGGAAGCAUCAGGUUCAGUUUUGCAUCUCAAGCCCCAAGAGGGGGAGAGAUUGAUCGUCUUCCCCUCCUCUUUCUUCACCCGCCCCCCUCUCCCCCCCAACCAUUGCUGACCAGCCAGAAGUCUGAGCCUUGGCUCCCUCCCUCAUUCUCUCUGUCAGACAAAUAUCAUAAUUGACCUUUUGCUUCCCUUUGGUCCUUGUGUCUGCCCUCCAGCUAAUGAGGGCUUGUGCGAAGGAGCAGAGUUCAUGGCUGAUGAGUAUGGCAGGGUCCAUCUCUAGAAAUUGGUCUCCAGGAUUCAGACCUCAGGCCCCAAGACAGUAGGAUUGAGUAUUGUUGAAGGGGGAAGAUCUUCCUUUUCUGCCCCCUUUCCCCCUCCUCCCCCCACUCCAGUCCCCUAGACAGUUGAGUGACUGAUAUUAUCCAGAUGCCUCAGGAAUCUGGCUUCCAAUCUUCCCUCCCCGGCUGCCCUAGUGUCUCUGCAGGAGAGUGGGAGGGGAACGGGUGGGCUCUUUCUUUUCACAGAGGCCUGUUGCCACCUCUCAGAGCCUGCUGAAAGCCCCUCUCAGCCAAGCUCUUCAGGAUGGGGUGCUCUGGAGCCAGAAACACUCAGAAGGGGAUGUUUGACACUCUCAACACCCAGCUCCUUCUGUCCCAGAAAGUGGAGAGGGGCCUGUUACAAGUCAUUUACUAUGGGCAAGCUAGAUGGGUCCCCAAUCAGUGCUAAGUGUGGGUUGACUUGAGGGUCUGGAUUUUUGUUAGGGUAGAGAGGAGGCCUGGAUUUUUGUCUCUGUGAUUUACGGACUGUGUGACCCUGAGCAAAUGCGUAUUCCUUUCUGGUCUGAAGUUCUCUUUGAACUGAAAAUUUUUUUUAACUAAUUAUUUUAGAAUAUUUUCCCGUGGUUACAUGAUUCAUGUUCUUUCCCUCCCCCCACCCAUAGCCAUCGAGCAAUUCCACUGGGUUUUACAUGGGUCCUUGAUCAAGAUCUAUUUCCAUAUUAUUGAUAUUUGCAUUAGGGUGAUCAUUUAGAGUCUAUAUCCCCAGUCAUAUCCCCAUAGACCCAUGUGAUCAAACCGUUGUUUUUCUUCUGUGUUUCUGGUCCCACAGUUCUUUCUCAUAAGUUUCUCUGUGUUGUCAUGGAUCAUUGCAUUGCUGUUAGCAGAGAAGUUCAUUACAUUCGAUUGUGCCACAGUGUAUCAUCUCUGUGUAUAAGGUUCUCCUGGUUCUGCUCCUUUCGCUCUGCAUCACUUCCUGGAGGUCAUUCCAGUUCACAUGGAAUCCCUCCAGUUCAUUAUUCCUUUGAGCACAAUAGUAUUCCAUCACCAACAGAUACCACAAUUUGUUCAGUCAUUCCCCAAACGAAGGACAUCCCUUCAUUUUCCAAUUUUUUGCCACCACAAAGAGCGCAGCUAUGAAUAUUCUUGUACAGGUCUUUUUCCUUAUUAUCUCUUUGGGGUAUAAACCCAGCAGUGCUAUGACUGGAUCAAAGGGCAGACAGUCUUUUAGCGCCCUUUGGGCAUGAUUCCAAAUUGCCAUCCAGAAUGGUUAGAUCAAUUCACAACUCCACCAGCAAUGCAUUAGUGCCCCAAUUUUGCCAUAUCCCCAAAGUUCUCUUAAUGUGUAAAAUGAAAAGUUUAGUACCACCAGGUGAGCUCUAAGCCCCCUUUUGCUUAAGACCAAUGAAGUAUGGAAUUUCUACAACCUCAAUUUUUGUGACAGGUACCUGGGUUCAAAUAUUGACUCUAUCACUUCCUACCUCUUACUAUGAACAAGUUGACUCUCAUAGAUUUCCCCACAGGAUCACAGAGGAAAGUGAAUAAGGUCAGGGCCAGCUUUGGCUAUUUAAGGCCACAAGGAGUAGUUAGGAAGAUAAAGUGGUUGAAAAUGGCUUGUAGGGUAGCAGAAGAUGAAAUAUAAACUUAGGGACAGCUAGUUGGCAUAGAGAAUAAAGUGUUAGCCUGGAGUCAGGAAGAUCUGAAUUCCAAUCUGGCCUCAAACACUAACUUGUUUUAUGACCUUGGACAAGUCCCUUAACCCUUUUUGCCUGAAAAAAGAAAAAAAAAGAAAUCCAAAUUUAGAGAAAGACAAUUCAAUCAAAUUAACAUUUAUUAAACUCUUACUAUGUACUGGGUACUCUAGUAAGUGCUGAAAAUGCAACAACAACAAAAAAAUACUUGAGAAUAAAUCAAAGGACAGCUGGAAAGGAACCCUCUCCCUCUUUGAAAAGGUGUGGUACUAUGGGUGUGGAACAUUACAUUUAAUGUUGGACUUGGCUGAUUUGUUCAUUUAUUUUUGCUAAAACUAAGUUUUUCCUUACUUAAUUCUUGGCUAGAAAGGAUAUCUCUUGGGAGGAGAAAGCUGGAGAGAGCUACUGUGAAAUAUAGAUGACAUAAAAUAAAACUAUCAAUAAAAAGUCAAGGGAAAAGAUAAAAGACACACAGGAAUGAGAUGGAAGGCCAGCUAUCAGAAAUAUAAACACAUAAUAGUGCAGCGGAGAGAUCAGGGUCAAGUGCAGUCUCUAAGGAUUCCCCAAAAGGCAAAGUCAUAUGCCAUGCCUAUGGGACCUCCCGGUAUGCCAAAGAUUUCAUAUGGAAAAAGAAGAAAGAGGGUUGGAAAGGGAGAGAAGAGGCAGCCAGAGGGAAGUGGGUGUAAAGUUUUCUUGUUCUAGUAUCUUUAAUGUUUUCAAAAUCUCUUUUAAAACAUGAUAACACCUGGGGGCAGCUAGGUAGCACAGUGGUUAAAGCCAGGAGGAUUUGGGUUUAAAUCUGGCCUCAGAGACUUCCUAGCCAUGUGACCCUGGGCAAGUCACUUAACCCUUGUUGCUUUUUUGUGUAAGAGUGGAUACCAAGAUCCAUUUAUUAAUUCAUCUGAAUCCAUCAACCGAUCAGUAAGGAUUUAUUAAAUUCCUCCUUUGCCCCAGACACCAUGCUAGAUGCCAGAGAUACAAAGGCAGAAAGGAAGUCAUUUUUUUUCUCUCAAAGAGCUUACAUCCUAUUGAGAGAGAUAAUAUAUCCAUAUAAAAAAGAUAUAGAAAUUACAUACAGAAUAUUGUAUUUAUCAGUUCCUUCUCUCUGCUACAGACACUGAGAUCAAAGGAUCUGGCCACAGGAGUUCAGUGUGGUCUUUACUAGGCAAGGAUACUGGGGAGGAUUUCUGGCUUAGGACCCCUAAUUCUGAACUUUUGAACUUCUGAAGGUGACAUCUACCAUCUUGCUGUGAAUGGAGAUAACAACCUAGAAGACUUUCUCCUUGCCUUAGGGGGCUGGUGGAAGGACAAUUACAAUUUUAAAUUGUAACUGGGGGCAAUCUCAAAUCAGAAAAUGCUUCCAAAGAACUUUGCAAACCUUCAAAACACUAUGUAAAUAUCAGCUAUUUUUAGUGGCAUCAUACAGGUCUGAUCAUCUAGAAGAUAAGAGUUCUGGAAUCAGGAAGAGGAGGAAAAGUCUCUGCUUCUCCUUGGACACCACUAGCUGUGUGACCCUGGUGCCUAGAACAGUGCUGGGAACACAGUAGGUGCUUAAUAAAUGUUUGUCGAUUGCCUGAAGAAAGAAACAAGAAUGGCAAUAUCAGCUACACCGGUGGAAAGAAUCGAUUUGGAAUCAGGAGAUCGGAAUUUGAAUCCAUGGUCUCUCUGUGUGACUUUCUCUGGUGAAUCCCAGGCCUUCAUCUGUAAAACGAAGAGACUGGAUUGGAUGAUCAGUAAGACUUCUUCCUGUUCUACUGAGAUAAAAUUGUACACAUUGGAUGAGGGUCAUCUGUGGAAAUCGGCCACUCUAGCAAUGCAGUGAUCUGGGACCUUCCUGGAGGACCUCCAAUGGGGAAGGCUCUCCACCUCCCAAGAAAGAAGCAUUGGAGUCUGAUGGAUGGGAUCAAAGCAGAAGAGCUUCCCAUCAGUGUAUUUGGGGUUCAACCUUGCUCUUACGGCAAUGACCAACAUGGAAGUGGGAUGGGAUUUGCAUGACAAGAAAAAUAAAAUAAAAUAAAAAAGUCUUCCAAUUCUGAAUCUAUGAUUCAGUCAAGUAAAUCAGCCCAGAGCUGGGGAUGGAAAGAAAGGGCAAAAACCAUCCCUGCCCUCAGUGGGCAGAAACUCCAGUGGGGAGAUAACAGGGAAAUGACAAGGUACAGUCAGGAUGUAUGGACAUGCGUACAUUUCUGUCGACACACAUCUGUGUGUCUCUGUGUGUAUCUUAUACAUCUUUUUUUGUUUAUAUUAGAACACAGAUAUACACAAAUACAUGAGUGUAUAUAAUUAUAUAUGGAAAUAUAUAUGUAUAUGCCACAUACCUUGUUUAUGUUAGAAUAUAUUCACACACACAUGUGCAUAUGAAAACAUAUACAUGUUGUGUGGAGCUGAUCUAAUUUUUAUAUUAGAAUAUAUAGACA